rnacentral:rRNA from 1 species
CGGAGGAAAAGAAACCAACAGGGAUUGCCUUAGUAGCGGCGAGUGAAGCGGCAAAAGCUCAAAUUUGAAAUCUGGCGCCUUCGGUGUCCGAGUUGUAAUUUGAAGAUUGUAACCUUGGGGUUGGCUCUUGUCUAUGUUUCUUGGAACAGGACGUCACAGAGGGUGAGAAUCCCGUGCGAUGAGAUGCCCAAUUCUAUGUAAGGUGCUUUCGAAGAGUCGAGUUGUUUGGGAAUGCAGCUCUAAGUGGGUGGUAAAUUCCAUCUAAAGCUAAAUAUUGGCGAGAGACCGAUAGCGAACAAGUACAGUGAUGGAAAGAUGAAAAGAACUUUGAAAAGAGAGUGAAAAAGUACGUGAAAUUGUUGAAAGGGAAGGGUUUGAGAUCAGACUCGAUAUUUUGUGAGCCUUGCCUUCGUGGCGGGGUGACCCGCAGCUUAUCGGGCCAGCAUCGGUUUGGGCGGUAGGAUAAUGGCGUAGGAAUGUGACUUUACUUCGGUGAAGUGUUAUAGCCUGCGUUGAUGCUGCCUGCCUAGACCGAGGACUGCGAUUUUAUCAAGGAUGCUGGCAUAAUGAUCCCAAACCGCCCGUCUUGA